rnacentral:rRNA from 1 species
CAAUAGCGUAUAUUAAAGUUGUUGCAGUUAAAAAGCUCGUAGUUGGAUAUCUGGGUUGAGCGCCGGGUCCGCCGCUGUGCGGUGUGUACUUGCGUGGCUCGACUCAUCCUUGCGGGGAAGCUGUUUGGCAUUAGUUUGUCGAGCAGGGGAUCCGCAUCGUUUACUGUGAAAAAUUAGAGUGUUUAAAGCAGGCCUUCGCUUGAAUACAUUAGCAUGGAAUAAUGGAAUAGGACUUCUGUUCUAUUUUGUUGGUUUCUAGGACUGAAGUAAUGAUUAAUAGGGAUAGUUGGGGGCAUUAGUAUUUAAUUGUCAGAGGUGAAAUUCUUGGAUUUAUGAAAGACUAACUUCUGCGAAAGCAUUUGCCAAGGAUGUUUUCAUUAAUCAAGAACGAAAGUUAGGGGAUCGAAGAUGAUCAGAUACCAU